rnacentral:lncRNA from 1 species
UGCUCUUAAAAGCUCUGCACCUGCAGCUAGGAUCUGAACACUCCUGGGAAAAAGGUCCACUUCUGGCAGUGAAUCGAGGUGACAACAGGCAGGAGGCUGCUUGGUCAUCAGUACAAGCUGCUCUUAAAGGGACACCAGGAGCUUCUCUGUUUCUCUGGAAGGCUGGAAGCACAGGCCUGAUCUUGAGUGUCUGAAAGAACAGCAACUAAUGGUGUCCAAGACCAAGAGACCCUUGAGGAGCUUGUCCUUGACUGUCACAUUCUUUUUGUAAGAUGGACUCAUAGCACCUAUUGAUCUAAGCAAUGGUGGUAAUGGAUGACUGACAUUCUGUAAGACACAGCACAGAAUCAAGAUGAUCAAAGAAACUCGGUGAACCUGAAAUUGGAUCAAAACAAAUUAUCGCUCAGAAUAAUAGAGAAAACUUGGAAACUGCAAGUGGAGCAUCAGCAGACCUUGGAAUCAGU